rnacentral:rRNA from 1 species
AACGAACGUUAGCGGUGUGGAUUAGGCAUGCAAGUCGUGCGUGAAAGGCGCAAGCCGAGUAAAGCGGCGAAAGGGUGAGUAACACGUAACCAAUCUACCCCUGAGACUGGGAUAACCUGCAGAAAGGCGGGCUAAUACCAGAUGGCCCUGCGUCGAGGCAUCUCGAUGCGGGUAAAUGGCGUAAGCUGCUCGGGGAGAGGUUGCGGCCUAUCAGCUAGUUGGCGGGGUAAUGGCCCACCAAGGCUAUGACGGGUACCCGGUCUGAGAGGAUGGUCGGGCACACUGGGACUGAGACACUGCCCAGACUCCUACGGGAGGCUGCAGUCGAGGAUCUUCCGCAAUGGGCGAAAGCCUGACGGAGCGACACCGCGUGCAGGAUGAAGGCCUCGGUUGUAACUGCUGUCACGCUAUAGGAACCCG